rnacentral:lncRNA from 1 species
UUGGCAAAUUGUUCAAAUUACAGAUAUAAAUAAGGUAUAAAAUGGGUUGAAUAUGCAUCCUAGCUCCGUCAAACCUCUUGCAUUUCCAGUAAGAAAGGACAUUUUUUUCUGAAAGGGGUGCACAAUUACAACUAGUCCAUUAAGACUGUGAAGUGGUUACAAGAAGAAUGGAUGAUCUCAAGGGAAGAGAGAGAGAGGAAAGACAAUGAAAAGAAUAGACGAACAGAAACAAAAUGAACAGCGCCACCCAAGAGGUCAGGCCUAAACAGCUCGGAAGAACCAUGGAUCAGCCAGAUUUCUAAACCAUAAAUCUCUAAAAGUCGAGCACCGAGAACAAGUACGCCUCUAGUACCAAAAGAAGACAAACUCCCUCCACAAUAAACUCAACUGAAGCUAAACCCAGACGAUCCUCGUCUGAUAUGGAUUGCUGCACACACAUCAAACAUAGAAACAGUAAAGUGAGGAACGUGAGGGCAGACAGAAAAGGAAA